AGCGAACGCUGGCGGCAGGCCUAACACAUGCAAGUCGAACGAACUCUUCGGAGUUAGUGGCGGACUGGUGGGUAACACGUUGGAACGUGCCUUUUGGUUUGGCAUAACUCAGGGAAACUCGUGCUAAUACCGACUGUGCUCUCCGGGGGAAAGAUUUAUCGCCAUUAGAGCGGCUGGAGACGGCUUGGCUUGUUGGGGAGGUAAAGGCGCACCACUGCUUCGAUCAGUAGCUGGGUAGCGAGGAUGACCAGCGACACUGGUACGGGGACACGGCCAAGAAUACUACGGGAGGGAGGAGUGGGGAAUCUUGCGAAAUGGGGGAAAGGAUGACGGAGCCAGGAUGGGUGAAUGAUGAAGGUCGUAGGGUUGUAAAAUUAUUUCACAGGGGACGAUAAUGACGGUACCCGGAGAAGAAGCCCCGGCUAACUUCGUG
rnacentral:rRNA from 1 species